rnacentral:rRNA from 2 species
CAUUUUGAACCGCAUGGUUCGAAAUUGAAAGGCGGCUUCGGCUGUCACUUAUGGAUGGACCCGCGUCGCAUUAGCUAGUUGGUGAGGUAACGGCUCACCAAGGCAACGAUGCGUAGCCGACCUGAGAGGGUGAUCGGCCACACUGGGACUGAGACACGGCCCAGACUCCUACGGGAGGCAGCAGUAGGGAAUCUUCCGCAAUGGACGAAAGUCUGACGGAGCAACGCCGCGUGAGUGAUGAAGGCUAUCGGGUCGUAAAACUCUGUUGUUAGGGAAGAACAUGUGCUAGUUGAAUAAGCUGGCACCUUGACGGUACGUAACCAGAAAAGCCACGGCUAACUACGUGCCAGCAGCCGCGGUAAUACGUAGGUGGCAAGCGUUAUCCGGAAUUAUUGGGCGUAAAGCGCGCGCAGGUGGUUUCUUAAGUCUGAUGUGAAAGCCCACGGCUCAACCGUGGAGGGUCAUUGGAAACUGGGAGACUUGAGUGCAGAAGAGGAAAG